UAUUAUAAGUCUCAAUUUCUACGCUAAAAGGCUCUACAUUUUACUACGCUAAAAGGCUCUAUAUUUUACUUCGCUAUAAGACACUAUAUUUUACUAUGCUAUAAGGCUAUACAAUAUGAACAUAACAUCAACAAUACAAAUAAACAAAAUAAAUAAUAUUAUUUAACACAAACAAUCAAGUAGCAUCUUUGGUCACAAACAUAACAUAAAUUCGGAUAUCAAAUAAAUCAAACCGGGUAUAUAAAAGAAACAAAAUUAAACACUAACAUAACAAAAGUUCACAUGGAAACAUACUAAACAAUACUAAUGCAUGACUAUAUGAGUUUCGGCAUAAACUAAAUUGAAAUACCUCGAUGUAAAUAUUAUUGAAAUCGAAUUUUUGCACCCGAAACACGCAAUCCAAAACUUCUUUUGUGUGUGGGACCUACACUUCUUGCUCUUUAUGGGACGGAUGGGGCCGAAAUUUUUUUUUUUUAAAUUGUAGGCGGGGUGGGGGACCAAAAAAGUUUGAGUUUGAUUUUUUAAUGGAGAUCGUUGUCUGUGGGAAGAAGACGACCCGUUUUUUAUUAGGGCAAUUCGUAGUUCAGUACAACGAAUUGUAAUUCGCAGUACUGUACUACGAAAUGUCAUAAAAAAAUUAUUUUUUUUUAAUACUGCGAAACGCCUUAACGGCAAAAAAUCCGUUAAGCCAAUUCGCAGUAUAAAACUGCGAAAUACCCAUUAUUGUAUCUUUUUUUUUAACAUGAAAAAUAUAUUUUAUGUUCAAAAAAUUAUUAAUUAAGUUUUGGACUCUUCCUAGAAACAACGUUAAGCUCUUGCCUUUCCUGCUGCAAUUUUAUACCUGCAUGAUGGUGCCCAAGCUUUGCAGGCUUAUAAUUCUUCUGUGGAUCCCGCAGCAUUCCUAGCUGCUAUCGAAUCAGGAACUGUAAGGGUUGAUAUUGGAAACUAUGACUCAUUCUAUGACGUGAGAUUGGUCUUCCAUCUUGAGCAGCUAUCAAGAAUUAUAUUUUACAAUGAAUACAAACUAUAAUGUGUUGUUGACAAAAAUAGUUGACCAUCCAACCCUCCCCAGACCCCACAUCCCACCAGGUUGUUGUUGUUGUUGACAAAAAACACUUAAGAUUUAACUAUAGUUUCAACUGUGAAAAAGCUUUGAUAUUUUGAUCAAAUUAAUUUCAACUAAUUCUGCAAA